AAACUUUCAACAACGGAUCUCUUGGUUCUGGCAUCGAUGAAGAACGCAGGAAAUGCGAUAAGUAAUGUGAAUUGCAGAAUCCAGUGAAUCAUCGAAUCUUUGAACGCACAUUGCGCCCCUUGGUAUUCCGAGGGGCAUGCCUGUUCGAGCGUCAUUA
rnacentral:rRNA from 1 species